UGGGGAAUAUUGGACAAUGGGCGCAAGCCUGAUCCAGCCAUACCGCGUGGGUGAAGAAGGCCUUCGGGUUGUAAAGCCCUUUUGUUGGGAAAGAAAAGCAGCCGGUUAAUACCCGGUUGUUCUGACGGUACCCAAAGAAUAAGCACCGGCUAACUUCGUGCCAGCAGCCGCGGUAAUACGAAGGGUGCAAGCGUUACUCGGAAUUACUGGGCGUAAAGCGUGCGUAGGUGGUUGUUUAAGUCUGUCGUGAAAGCCCUGGGCUCAACCUGGGAAUUGCGAUGGAAACUGGGCGACUAGAGGGUGGCAGAGGGUAGUGGAAUUCCUGGUGUAGCAGUGAAAUGCGUAGAGAUCAGGAGGAACAUCCGUGGCGAAGGCGACUGCCUGGGCCAACACUGACACUGAGGCACGAAAGCGUGGGGAGCAAACAGG
rnacentral:rRNA from 1 species